rnacentral:tRNA from 1 species
AAUGGUGUAGCGGUUAGCACUCAGGACUUUGAAUCCUGCGACCCGAGUUCAAAUCUCGGUU